rnacentral:rRNA from 1 species
GAUGAACGCUGGCGGCGUGCUUAACACAUGCAAGUCGAGCGAGUGAGUUCUUCGGAACGAUCUAGCGGCGGACGGGUGAGUAACACGUGGGCAACCUGCCUCAUAGAGGGGAAUAGCCUCCCGAAAGGGAGAUUAAUACCGCAUAAAAUUAUCGAGUGGCAUCACAUGAUAAUCAAAGGAGUAAUCCGCUAUGAGAUGGGCCCGCGGCGCAUUAGCUAGUUGGUGAGGUAACGGCUCACCAAGGCGACGAUGCGUAGCCGACCUGAGAGGGUGAUCGGCCACAUUGGGACUGAGACACGGCCCAGACUCCUACGGGAGGCAGCAGUGGGGAAUAUUGCACAAUGGGGGAAACCCUGACGCAGCAACGCCGCGUGAGUGAUGAAGGUCUUCGGAUUGUAAAGCUCUGUCUUUGGGGACGAUAAUGACGGUACCCAAGGAGGAAGCCACGGUUAACAACGUGCCAGCCGCCGCAGUAA